CCCUCACAGAGCUCCAAUUCCCAGAGUUCUCUGGAAAAAGGAAACCACUCUGGGAAUUGUAGCUUUGAGAGG